rnacentral:lncRNA from 1 species
GCAUACGGAAGUCCCCAGGUUAGGGGUAGAAUCAGAGCUGCAGGUGCCGGCCUGCACCACAGCCACAGCCAUACAGGAUCCAAGCCACACCUGUGACCUACACCACAGCUCAUGGCAACACUAGAUCCUUAACCCACCAAGUAAAGCCAGGAAUGGAACCCGUGUGCUCAUGAAUACGAGUCGGGCCAUUAUUUACACAGUGAACGACACGCCCUAAAAUCCAGGGUCAUCUUACGUAUGCGGUUUUGUUGAACCGCAACAUCAAGUAUCAUUCACCGCACGUCUGGCUGGUGCCAGUGCCUGGCAACUAAGAACGCGCUCUCCCCCGAGGCCUUUCCGAGCAGCUCCGGGAGCGUCCCCGCCGCCCACUGAGCACCCCGUGGACCCCGAGGAGGCCUGGGCGUCCCCGCCUGCAUCCUGACGGGAACCGGGCAGGCCCAGCCGAGGUUACCUUCCGGAGACUGUGCCUGUCCGCCCGGAGUCUCUUCCCAGGCGCGCCCUCAGCGUCGGCAGCUUCGGUGGAGUCCUGGGUCCUUUUCACGUGGUUCCUUUUUUUCCCAUUUAAGUUACCUGGGAAGGGGAACGGGGGAAACGGCCAUGACCACCACCCCAGGAGCCACCCUCGAAAGCACAGAGCCAGCCUGGGACGGGCCCCCCGGAGCCCUGCGCACGCCCGGGCCUAAGUCCCACAGGGCAACGCUCUCUGCACGUUCCAAACUGCAAGGGACCAUUUCCCGUGAGAGGAGAAAAUCCUCCUCUAGAGGUGAUUUAUUGGUCCCUAGUGCAGUCUAAUGCACGGUGGCACUAAAUUUAAAUAUAACCCGGCCUCUGCGUUUUCACCCUUUAGUAACUUCGGACGGGCGGACUUUAGGUUGAACUUUAAAAACAGGAGCAACUUGCUACUUGUAGCACAUUGCCCUGCAGAAGCAUCUUAAGUGGCAGCACUAACUCCAUCUGCCAUCUGUGAACCCAGGGCCUCUGCAGGAACACCGCCUGCCCAGAUGUCAGGGGUCCAAGCUGUGCUGACCCAGAAAAGCAAGACGGAAGGGCAGAGUCAGCGUCUAGAGAGCUGGUGGGCUUGCCCAGGCCAGUGCUGCGGGCACACACACCCAGAGUCUGCACUGGCAGGACCACUUUACAGAGGCGCGGGGCAUGCCCGGCCCGUUCGGCAAACGUCCCGUGGAAGGCGGGGUGCCCAAACGCUGCUGUGUGGUGAGACAGAGCAGCCAGCAGCCAGCAGCCCAGGGCUGACAGCGCUAAAAAGAGCCACAGCGGGAGUGCUGGCCUCACCAGCUGCCAGUCCCCGCCUGGCAUGAACCAGCCCAAGAGCAGCCCUCACCAAGCUGGGCCCCGGCCACAGCCCUGGGCUGGCCUCAGGGGACCCAGGGAAGAAGGCUGUAGACUGGUGGCCGUGGGGCCUGCUGAGCAGCCAGAGCGCAGCCAGCCUGACCUGCCGGCGCCCAGUCCGGGCUGCCUCCCUCAGCACGGGCACUGCAGACAGACCCGCAGGAGGGGUGAAAUCGCAUCGUCUGCCGUUCCGUAAGGACCGCCCUGCACCAGGACACGGCAGCGCUAGUUCCUCACAGAAGUAAGACGGGCAAACGUGUGAAUCCCUAACGCCGAGACGAAGGGACGGCGGACACCACGGCCCUGGCCUGUCACUUUGAUGGUCAGCACUGGGGCCCCUGGGCGGGGGGAGGCCUAAGUGCCAGCACCCCCGACACACACCAAGAACUCAGAACGGUCCACGAUGACAAGAGGGCCGCACGAGCGUGUCACACCUGCUCUUCAGGAGUAAGGCCCGGGGCCUCAGGGAAGCCGACUGCUAAGCCAGCGGCCACUGCUUUAGGCUCAGUGGGCCGCCGCAGACCCGCGAGUCCUGCCUUUCCCAGGAAACACUCAGAUCUCAGCAUCCUCACUGUUCUAACUGGCAGCGUUCGCAACGAAGGCUGAGGGAACGGAAUUCACUGUCAGGAUCAUGAGACGGGGGGUGCCCUGCCGUGGAGAGCGAGAAGCGUGCAUCCGGGCCCCAGAGCAGAGGCAGCUUCUCCUGAGCCGCGGCCUCGGUCAGGGGAGUCCGGAGACGCCCCACGGCUGGCCCCUCCAAAACUCCUCAGCGACCACCCCUGAGAGACGCAGCCAUCUCGAGGUUUUUGUUUGGACUGUUUUCUGGCUUUGCCCAUGGCAUGUGAAGGUUCUGGGCCACAGAUCAAACCCAUGCCACAGCUGUAACCAGAGCCACGGCAGUGACAAUGAUGGAUCCUUUACCCUCUGAGCCCCCAGGGAACUCUUUUUUUUUUUUAGAAUUUUUUUGUUUUUAAACUGAGGCCUAAGAAGAACCAGAGGACAGGCACAUUUAAGGCCAGCCCAGAUCACCCUCCUCGGGCUGCGAGCUCUCCAGCAAACAGGCCACGAAGGGCCCUGGGGGGCUCUGGCCCCUGCCCACUCGGGGGGCCGCCUGUCUUCCGCUCGGGCGCAACCCCACUGCUGCAGAGGCGAGAGGGCCCUGGGGGCCCAGGAGUGAGGAGACACAGGCAACGGGAGCUGCAGUACCCUGCCCACUGGCACGCCUGCCGCCUCACGAGCCCAGCACCGUGCAGCCACACCACACAGAGGACACGAGCACAGCGGGGCGUUUACCGGACUCUUCCUCGGACUGGGAGGGGGCCACCAGGGCAAACUUGGUGUUGUAGCGUGCUUUCUGCUUCUCCGUGAGCACGUCCCACUGCGACCCCAGCAGCUCUUCGAUCUCCUCAGCAGAGGCGUCUGGGUGCUCGGCGACAACCUGCCAACACAGGAGAGGCAAGGGGGAGGCUCAGCACCUGAAUUCACAGGGCCCGAUGCGCAGCCCUCGGGAGCGCGGCACGUCGGGGAGCUCUGCCCCAUAACAGCUUCAAAGAAAACAGUGUUUAACUGAUGCAGCUACUCAGCCAAAACCAGCGCCGGUGGCUGUGUGAGUGCAGGAAGUGAGAAGCGGUAAGAGAAAAUCACUUCUCCACAGUCGCCCGUCACUGACAAUUUCCCGGGCGCCCGUGAGAAGCCAGCCGUAGGAGGGGCCCUUGGAUGCAGACGGGAGGUCUUGGCCGCACCACCCUCCACCAGGGACAGCGCUCUAAUGUAGCCAGGCCCGAGCUCCCCUGGCCCUGCAGCCCCCACCCCGCAUUUCCACAAGGUCCGCAAGGGACUCAGGUGCUCAGAGGCGGGGGGGCGGGCUGCUGGCCGGAAUAAGCCCGGGGGUAGGGGGUGGACGCUGGCCUGGCAUCACUGCUUUUUUUUUUUUUUUUUUUUGCUUUUUAGCUGGGGGUCAAAUUGAUCUGAGCUGCACCUGCAACCCACGCCAAAGCUUGUGGCAACACCGGAUUCUUACCCACUGAGUGAGGCUAGGGAUCAAGCCCACAUCCUCCCAGAUACUAGUGGGGUUCUUAAUCCGCAGAGCUACAGUGGGAAUUCCUGACUUGACAUUUUUAUUUUAAAGAUGUUCAUUUUUUUCCAUUAUAGUUUGUUUACAGUGUUCUGUCAAUUGUCUACCGUACGGCGAGGUGACCCUGUCACACACACACACAGACACAUUCUUUUUUCUCACAUUAUCCUGCGCUAUCACAAGUGACCGGGUAGAGCUCCCAGUGCUGCACAGCAGGAUCUCAUUGCUUGUCGUUCCAAAGGCCAUAGUUUGCAUCUCCGAAUACCCCAGAUUCCCAGUCCACCCCACUCCCUCCCCUCCCCCUCGGCAACCGCAAGCCUGUUCUCCGAGUCCACGGCUUUCUUUUCUGGAAAGGUUCACCUGUGCCACGUACUAGAGUCCAGACAUGAGUGACAUCAUAUGGUGUUUGCCUUUCUCUUUC